GGCUCGAUGGUCAAGCGGUUAAGACGCCGCCCUCUCACGGCGGAAACCGGGGUUCGAUUCCCCGUCGAGCUG
rnacentral:tRNA from 2 species